rnacentral:rRNA from 1 species
AGAGUUUGAUCCUGGCUCAGGACGAACGCUGGCGGCGUGCUUAACACAUGCAAGUCGAACGGAAAGGCCCUUCGGGGUACUCGAGUGGCGAACGGGUGGGUAACACGUGGGUGAUCUGCCCUGCAUUUUGGGAUAAGCCUGGGAAACUGGGUCUAAUACCGAAUAUGACCAUGCGCCUCCUGGUGUGUGGUGGAAAGCUUUUGCGGUGUGGGAUGGGCCCGCGGCCUAUCAGCUUGUUGGUGGGGUAAUGGCCUACCAAGGCGACGACGGGUAGCCGGCCUGAGAGGGUGACCGGCCACACUGGGACUGAGAUACGGCCCAGACUCCUACGGGAGGCAGCAGUGGGGAAUAUUGCACAAUGGGCGCAAGCCUGAUGCAGCGACGCCGCGUGAGGGAUGACGGCCUUCGGGUUGUAAACCUCUUUCAGCACAGACGAAGCGCAAGUGACGGUAUGUGCAGAAGAAGGACCGGCCAACUACGUGCCAGCAGCCGCGGUAAUACGUAGGGUCCGAGCGUUGUCCGGAAUUACUGGGCGUAAAGAGCUCGUAGGUGGUUUGUCGCGUUGUUCGUGAAAACUCACAGCUUAACUGUGGGCGUGCGGGCGAUACGGGCAGACUUGAGUACUGCAGGGGAGACUGGAAUUCCUGGUGUAGCGGUGGAAUGCGCAGAUAUCAGGAGGAACACCGGUGGCGAAGGCGGGUCUCUGGGCAGUAACUGACGCUGAGGAGCGAAAGCGUGGGGAGCGAACAGGAUUAGAUACCCUGGUAGUCC